rnacentral:rRNA from 1 species
CGUGUAGGCGGUUCGGUAAGUCGGCUGUGAAAGUCCAGGGCUCAACCCUGGGAUGCCGGUCGAAACUGUCGGACUAGAGUUCGGAAGAGGCGAGUGGAAUUCCCGGUGUAGCGGUGAAAUGCGCAGAUAUCGGGAGGAACACCAAUGGCGAAGGCAGCUCGCUGGGACGUUACUGACGCUGAGACGCGAAAGCGUGGGGAGCAAACA